rnacentral:rRNA from 1 species
CCUACGGGGGGCAGCAGUAAGGAAUAUUGGUCAAUGGACGAAAGUCUGAACCAGCCAUCCCGCGUGCAGGAUGAAAGCCCUAUGGGUUGUAAACUGCUUUUAGCAGAGAAGAAAAGCUUUCAUUAAUGAGAGUCUGACGGUAUCUGCAGAAUAAGCACCGGCUAACUCCGUGCCAGCAGCCGCGGUAAUACGGAGGGUGCGAGCGUUAUCGGGUAUUAAGGGGGCGAAAGGGUGGGAAGGAGUCAGUUUAGAAAUCGUGUCGCGUAACGAUAAAAUUGCCAAUGAUACUGGUACUCUUGAAUUGGGUUGAGGUUAGCGGAAUGUGACAUGUAGCGGUGAAAUGCAUAGAUAUGUCAUGGAACACCAAUUGCGAAGGCAGCUAACUGGGCCUUGAUUGACGCUGAGGCACGAAAGCGUGGGUAGCGAACAGGAUUAGAUACCCUAGUAGUC